rnacentral:rRNA from 1 species
GAUGAACGCUAGCUACAGGCUUAACACAUGCAAGUCGCGGGGCAGCAUGGGGGUUGCUUGCAACCCCUGAUGGCGACCGGCGCACGGGUGAGUAACGCGUAUCCAACCUGCCCUUCACCACGGGAUAACCCGGCGAAAGUCGGACUAAUACCGUAUGUUGUCCAUUGACGGCAUCCGAUUUGGACGAAAGGCUUAGCGGUGAGGGAUGGGGAUGCGUCCGAUUAGCUUGACGGCGGGGUAACGGCCCACCGUGGCAACGAUCGGUAGGGGUUCUGAGAGGAAGGUCCCCCACACUGGAACUGAGACACGGUCCAGACUCCUACGGGAGGCAGCAGUGAGGAAUAUUGGUCAAUGGGCGGAAGCCUGAACCAGCCAAGUAGCGUGCAGGAUGACGGCCCUAUGGGUUGUAAACUGCUUUUAUGCGGGGAUAAAGGAGUCCACG